UUUCCUACGGGAGGCAGCAGUGGGGAAUAUUGGGCAAUGGGCGCAAGCCUGACCCAGCAACGCCGCGUGAAGGAAGAAGGCCCUCGGGUUGUAAACUUCUUUUAUUCGGGACGAAACAAAUGACGGUACCGAAUGAAUAAGCCACGGCUAACUACGUGCCAGCAGCCGCGGUAAUACGUAGGUGGCAAGCGUUAUCCGGAUUUACUGGGUGUAAAGGGCGUGUAGGCGGGAAAGCAAGUCAGAUGUGAAAACCAUGGGCUCAACCUGUGGCCUGCAUUUGAAACUGUUUUUCUUGAGUACUGGAG
rnacentral:rRNA from 1 species